UACGGGGGGAGCAAGCGUUGUUCGGAUUUACUGGGCGUUGAAAGGCGCAGUAGGCGGUCAGCACAAGUCAGUUGUGAAAUCUCCGGGCUUAACUCGGAAAGGUCAACUGAUACUGUGCGACUAGAGUGCAGAAGGGGCAACUGGAAUUCUCGGUGUAGCGGUGAAAUGCGUAGAUAGUCGAGAGGAACACCUGCGGCGAAGGCAGCUCGCUGGGACGUGACUGACGCUGAGAACGCGAAAGCGUGGGGAGCAAACAGG
rnacentral:rRNA from 1 species